rnacentral:rRNA from 1 species
AUUGAACGCUGGCGGCAGGCCUAACACAUGCAAGUCGAGCGGAUGAAGGGAGCUUGCUCCUGGAUUCAGCGGCGGACGGGUGAGUAAUGCCUAGGAAUCUGCCUGGUAGUGGGGGAUAACGUCCGGAAACGGGCGCUAAUACCGCAUACGUCCUGAGGGAGAAAGUGGGGGAUCUUCGGACCUCACGCUAUCAGAUGAGCCUAGGUCGGAUUAGCUAGUUGGUGGGGUAAAGGCCUACCAAGGCGACGAUCCGUAACUGGUCUGAGAGGAUGAUCAGUCACCGGGGAGCUGAGACACGGUCAGGACUCCGCGGGGAGGCACCAGGGGGAAAUUUUGGAAAGGGGGCAAAACCUUGACCCACCCAGGCGGCGUGUGUAAAGAGGUUCUUGGAUUUUAAAAGAUUUUUAUGUGGGGAGAAGGGGUAUUAAUUUAAUCCCUUGUUUUUUUAACGUACCAAAAAAAAAAAGCCCCGGCUACCUUCGUC